rnacentral:rRNA from 1 species
AAUAGAUACCCGGGUAGUCCUUGCCGUAAACGAUGUAUACUUGGUGUAGCCGGACUCAACCCCGGCUGUGCCGAAGCUAACGCGAUAAGUAUACCGCCUGGGGGAGUACGCUCGCAAGGGUGAAACUCAAAAAGAAUUGACGGGGACCCGCACAAGCAGUGGAGCAUGUGGUUUAAUUCGAUGCAACGCGAAGAACCUUACCCAGGCUUGACAUGCAGAGGAAUGUAUCAGAAAUGAUAAAGCCCUUAGGGGCCUCUGCACAGGUGCUGCAUGGCUGUCGUCAGCUCGUGCCGUGAGGUGUUGGGUUAAGUCCCGCAACGAGCGCAACCCUUAUCAUUAGUUGCCAACGAGUGAAGUCGGGAACUCUAAUGAGACUGCCUGGGUUAACCAGGAGGAAGGUGAGGAUGACGUCAAGUCCGCAUGGCCCUUAUGUCGUGGGGCUACGACACGUGCUACAAUGGCCGGUACAGAAGGCAGCGAAACUGUGAAGUGAAGCAAAUCCCGAAAGCCGGCCCCAGUUCAGAUUGU